UGGGGGAUAUUGCACAAUGGGCGAAAGCCUGAUGCAGCGACGCCGCGUGGGGGAUGAAGGCUUUCGGGUUGUAAACCUCUUUCGCUAUCGAACAAGGCCCGCUUAGGGUGGGUUGAGGGUAGGUGGAGAAGAAGCGCCGGCUAACUACGUGCCAGCAGCCGCGGUAAUACGUAGGGCGCGAGCGUUGUCCGGAAUUAUUGGGCGUAAAGGGCUUGUAGGCGGCUUGUUGCGCCUGCUGUGAAAACGCGGGGCUUAACUUCGCGCGUGCAGUGGGUACGGGCAGGCUUGAGUGUGGUAGGGGUGACUGGAAUUCCAGGUGUAGCGGUGGAAUGCGCAGAUAUCUGGAGGAACACCGAUGGCGAAGGCAGGUCACUGGGCCAUUACUGACGCGGAGGAGCGAAAGCAUGGGGAGCGAACAGG
rnacentral:rRNA from 1 species